UACGUAGGGGCCAAGCGUUGUCCGGAUUUAUUGGGCGUAAAGAGCUCGUAGGCGGUUCGGUAAGUCAGCUGUGAAAUCUCCACGCUCAACGUGGAGGGGUCAGCUGAUACUGCCGUGACUUGAGUCUGGUAGGGGAGUGCGGAAUUCCCGGUGUAGCGGUGAAAUGCGUAGAGAUCGGAAAGAACACCAACGGCGAAAGCACUCUGCUGGGCCGACACUGACACUGAGAGACGAAAGCUAGGGGAGCGAAUGGG
rnacentral:rRNA from 1 species